rnacentral:rRNA from 1 species
AAUAUCAAAGGUGAGCCAGUACAGGAUGGACCCGCGUCUGAUUAGCUAGUUGGUAAGGUAACGGCUUACCAAGGCGACGAUCAGUAGCCGACCUGAGAGGGUGAUCGGCCACAUUGGAACUGAGACACGGUCCAAACUCCUACGGGAGGCAGCAGUGGGGAAUAUUGCACAAUGGGCGAAAGCCUGAUGCAGCAACGCCGCGUGAGUGAGGAAGGCCUUCGGGUCGUAAAACUCUGUCCUCAAGGAAGAUAAUGACGGUACUUGAGGAGGAAGCCCCGGCUAACUACGUGCCAGCAGCCGCGGUAAUACGUAGGGGGCUAGCGUUAUCCGGAUUUACUGGGCGUAAAGGGUGCGUAGGCGGUCUUUCAAGUCAGGAGUGAAAGGCUACG